UACGUAGGGUGCGAGCGUUAAUCGGAAUUACUGGGCGUAAAGCGUGCGCAGGCUGUCUUGUAAGACAGAUGUGAAAUCCCCGGGCUCAACCUGGGACCUGCAUUUGUGACUGCAAGGCUGGAGUGCGGCCGAGGGGGAUGGAAUUCCGCGUGUAGCAGUGAAAUGCGUAGAUAUGCGGAGGAACACCGAUGGCGAAGGCAAUCCCCUGGGCCUGCACUGACGCUCAUGCACGAAAGCGUGGGGGGCAAACAGG
rnacentral:misc_RNA from 1 species